CAGGUCUGAUCAUUGGCAACCUUCAUGAUGCCUGGAUAUUUGGGAUUAAUCCCAACAUUUGAACAUGACUUAUUCUCGGUAAUCAACCUCACUUUGCAUAGUAAAACAUAUGGAGUUGUUUUGAAUGCAAAGCAUCUUUGCUAAAUCGAGGAAAAUGAUAUAAUCCUAUUUUAGUUCACAGGUUGCACAGAGGUAAUCCAAGCCGAAAAAGAAAGUAUGGAGGCCCCAAGGGAAACAAGCAGCCCAUGCAGCAUAGAGUAGUUUGCGUUGCUAUGUUCUUGCUAGCUUGCUCUCAAAUGUGUGCUUGCACAGUUAGAGAUAGAAGUGGCCAGUAGUCUUUUUUCCAUUUGAUAUAAUUGGUAG
rnacentral:lncRNA from 1 species